AAUGGGCGCAAGCCUGAUGCAGCCAUGCCGCGUGUGUGAAGAAGGCCUUCGGGUUGUAAAGCACCUUCAGUUGUGAGGAAGGUAGUGUAGUUAAUAGCUGCAUUAUUUGACGUUAGCGACAGAAGAAGCACCGGCUAACUCCGUGCCAGCAGCCGCGGUAAUACGGAGGGUGCGAGCGUUAAUCGGAAUUACUGGGCGUAAAGCGCAUGCAGGUGGUUUGUUAAGUCAGAUGUGAAAGCCCGGGGCUCAACCUCGGAAUUGCAUUUGAAACUGGCAGACUAGAGUACUGUAGAGGGGGGUAGAAUUUCAGGUGUAGCGGUGAAAUGCGUAGAGAUCUGAAGGAAUACCGGUGGCGAAGGCGGCCCCCUGGACAGAUACUGACACUCAGAUGCGAAAGCGUGGGGAGCAAACAGGAUU
rnacentral:rRNA from 1 species